AUGCUUUGCAGGACUCAAACAAACACAAAGGCAAACACAGGGAGGAAGUGUUCGAAGAGGAUGAGAUUUACCUAUUGGAGCUCGAUUCACCGCGUCUACGAUGGUCAUAACGGAAAAUCAAUGUCUCGGAACUUCAGAGGUGGUUAUGGUGAUGAUGCUGAAUUGAUGAAUAUGAUAAAGGAUCUGUUGAAGAUUCAAGCUAGGACAUGGGACAUCUUUGAUCAUCCGGAGCAAGCUUUGAAGGCAACAUGGUCAUGUGCCAUUGAAAAAAAUCAUGGUGAAGUGAGAUAUUUGAAGAUUAAACAAGAGUAUUGA